GCAGAAUCAUAUGGCAGGCGUGUGGUGGCCUAAAUUUAGCAUGGAAAAGUGGAGAUUAAGAAAUAUUAAAGGGAGAAAGACUUACAAGCUCGGACACAUAAGCGUAGCUAAUAGGACGUGGAACAGGUACACCCAGAUGAGUUGAAGCUAAUAUAGAAGAUAUUCCAGCAGAGUUGGCAAGCUCCACUUGUUCCUGGAGUGCUACCGAGUCAGAGUACAUGUGCUACGAUGUCUGAUAAAUGUUAGAGACUUUGCAGACAGAGUCGUGGGUAUAGGAUGUCGGUAUUGUGAAUGUCAUUUUAUGUUAUGUUAUAAAGUCCAUAUGAUAACAGAUUAUAUUUGAUUUGAGUACGAUGAAAAAAAUAAAUUGAAAGCUUUACUAUGUUUUCCACUCCUUAUUGAUGUAAGAGUCUAAAGAGGUUAAGUAUGUAAUAAGA